UCACAUAGCUCAGUUGGUAGAAUGAGACUCUUAAUCUCAGGGUCAUGGGUUUGAGCCCCACAUCGGGUAAA